rnacentral:rRNA from 1 species
GAGUUUGAUCCUGGCUCAGAUUGAACGCUGGCGGCAUGCCUUACACAUGCAAGUCGAACGGCAGCAUGAUCUAGCUUGCUAGAUUGAUGGCGAGUGGCGAACGGGUGAGUAAUACAUCGGAACGUGCCCUGUAGCGGGGAUAACUAGUCGAAAGAUUAGCUAAUACCGCAUACGACCUGAGGGUGAAAGUGGGGGACCGCAAGGCCUCAUGCUAUAGGAGCGGCCGACGUCUGAUUAGCUAGUUGGUGGGGUAAAGGCCCACCAAGGCGACGAUCAGUAGCUGGUCUGAGAGGACGAUCAGCCACACUGGGACUGAGACACGGCCCAGACUCCUACGGGAGGCAGCAGUGGGGAAUUUUGGACAAUGGGCGAAAGCCUGAUCCAGCAAUGCCGCGUGUGUGAAGAAGGCC